rnacentral:rRNA from 1 species
UACGGAGGGUGCGAGCGUUGUUCGGAAUCACUGGGCGUAAAGCGCGCGCAGGCGGCUUGGUUAGUCGGAUGUGAAAAUCCGGGGCUCAACCCCGGACCUGCAUCCGAUACUGCCAGGCUAGAGGCAGGUAGGGGAGAUCGGAAUUCCUGGUGUAGCGGUGAAAUGCGCAGAUAUCAGGAGGAACACCGGUGGCGAAGGCGGAUCUCUGGGCCUGUCCUGACGCUCAGGCGCGAAAGCUAGGGGAGCAAACAGG